AUGCAAUCACUUCCCUGCUCCCAUCCCUCCCAUGCCCAUUCCCAUACCUGCUCCAAUGUCCACUCCCAUCCUGCUUCCCAUACCAGUUUCUAUUCCUGUUCUCAUCCCAGUUCCCAUAGCCUCUCCCAUUCCAGUUUCCAUCCUCACUCCCAUUCCAGUUUCCAUCCCCACUCCCAUCCCAGUUCCCAUCCCACUUCCUACAGCCUCUCCCAUACCAAUUUCCAUCCCAGUUCUCACCUACACUCCCACCUCAGUUCCCAUCCCAGCUCACAUACCAGUUCCCAUCUCAGCUCCCACCCCAGCUCCCACCCCAGUCCCAGCUGCCUUCCCUACUCCCAUCCCCAUUCCCACACCAGUUCCCAUCCCAGCUCACUUCCUGGUUCCCACCCCCAUUCCCAUCCCAGUUCCCAUCCCUGCUCCCACCCCCAUUCCCAACGCAUUUCCCAUCCCCAUUCUCACCCCAGUUCCCAUUCCAGUUCCCAUCCCAGUUUGCAACCCAGUUCCCAUCUCCAUUCCCAUCCCAGUUUCCAACCCAGUUCCCAUCUCCAUUCCCAUCCCAGUUCCCAUCCCUGCUCCCAUCCCCAUUCCCAACGCAUUUCCCAUCCCCAUUCUCACCCCAGUUCCCAUUCCAGUUCCCAUCCCAGUUUCCAACCCAGUUCCCAUCCCCAUUCCCAUCCCAGUUCCCAUCCCUGCUCCCACCCCCAUUCCCAACGCAUUUCCCACCCCCAUUCCCAUCCUUCUCCCAUCCCUCUGCCCAUGCAGCCCUAUGGGGCCAGGCCCACAGCCGUGCCCCACGCCCCGUUCUGUGCUUCUGUCUCCAUGUGUGGAUGGAGGUGUGUGUGUGCUGUGCAUCCUGCCGGGCGUGCAGGGGUGUCUGCUCUUGGCAGAGGAGAUCCGGGCUGGGAGCCCGGCAGCUGUUCCGAGCCCGGCUGCAGCCAGACAGCCACCGCAGCGCUGGUGACCGCAUGCGCCCGCUCCCCUCCGGCCCUUCCGAAUCGCUCCGUCACAUGCACUGAAACAAAGGGAAUGAAGGGCUGCACCGACAGCAACAUCAACAUGUCAUAA
rnacentral:lncRNA from 1 species